GCGGCUGGUGACAGCGUGGCUCGCAACUGCACAGAAGAAGCAUAUGCGCAGUACCUCGAGGAGGCAGAGCCUAUCGCGUCGAAGAUGUCAGAGUUUGUCUCUCCAGAAGAGCCUUGAGCGUUUUAUGUACUCUUGAAACAGUUUCGAGUAUUUUGAACAAUACUGUGACAAAUAAAUGCUGGCCCAUUAUUUUGUUGCUUGAAAUGGUUGUCUUGCAAAGAGUAGAUUUA
rnacentral:lncRNA from 1 species